CCGUAAGAUGUAGCUUGGCUCGCGAGUCGCGAGGGGUAGUGAUAAGAUAACUGAUAGAGCAGGCUGAAUAUCAACUUUGGCGAUAGCUUCCAAUUUCCAUUUUGGUUCCGCCAUUAACAGUUGGAUUGAAAUGGGAAGUAAAGCUCUUCCUCUGCUCAAAGGAGCUUCAUCGUGCCCGUCGUUAAAGCUCCGAAUCUUCAUCUCUACCGGAUUGCAUUCCCUACCUGCUUCUCUCAUCAGAAUUCGAAAAUGUUCGACUGCUUCUCGAAUUUUGGCCUCUCUUCAACCUCCCGAUGUUCCUCGUUUAGCUGAAACAGCUCGAAUUUCUCUCACUCCCACUCAGGUUGAAGAAUUUGCGCCUAAAAUUAGACAAGUUGUUGACUGGUUUGGGCAGCUCCAGACAGUUGAUCUUCAAAGUAUUGAACCAGCCAUUAGAGCAGAUACCGAAGGUGGCAAUCAGCGGAAUGACAUUCCUGAAACAUUUGAAAAUAGAGAGGCCAUGAUUGGUGCAGUUCCAGUCUUUGAUGAGCCGUAUAUCAAAGUUCCUAAAGUUCUGAAUAAGGAGUAGUUGCUAAGGUUUGUUAAGGGGGCUGAUUGCCGCACAUUCCGGUUGUCACAUAGGAUGUUUAUCCAAAAAAAGGUCUCUAUUGCGAAAGGGACCUAGCCUCGUUAUUGAUCUUAUCAACUCUCCCUGUAGAUGAUGGAGACAGAUUCAGACACUCAGCAUGAGUAAGGAGAUUGUGUUAACCUUGGGAGUAAUGCAUACGCAAUUUAGCACAAGAUCGUGACAGUGGAUUUUUCACGACACAAUGUCGAUUGACCCUGGUUCUAACAAUUUUUUCCUUGAGGAUCUACCACUUUAUUUCGGUUUAUUUCCUCCUUUCUCUAAAUUAUAAUCGAUGAGUAUGUAAAUUAUGUUUUAAAUUUAUGUAAUUAUUUAUCAUCUUACCUACUAUAUUUCGGGGGCAGAUGCAGGUAAGGGCAUUUCUGGGUCCCACUGGAGUAGUUCUAGAAGUUAGUAUGGUCAAAUCUUACCAAAUCUUCCCUGAUAUAUCAUUUUUUUUUCUCCUUAAAAAAUAUUAGUACAUUUAUGAUUGUUAUUUUCAUAUAAAGUCAAUGACCAAAGAAAAUUGGAUCUCUUAGAAUAAUAA